rnacentral:rRNA from 1 species
GACGAACGCUGGCGGCGUGCUUAACACAUGCAAGUCGAACGGAAAGGCCCUGCUUUUGUGGGGUGCUCGAGUGGCGAACGGGUGAGUAACACGUGAGUAACCUGCCCUUGACUUUGGGAUAACUUCAGGAAACUGGGGCUAAUACCGGAUAGGAGCUCCUGCUGCAUGGUGGGGGUUGGAAAGUUUCGGCGGUUGGGGCUGGACUCGCGGCUUAUCAGCUUGUUGGUGGGGUAGUGGUUUACCAAGGCUUUGACGGGUAGCCGGCCUGAGAGGGUGACCGGCGACAUUGGGACUGAGAGACGGACCAGACUCCUACGGGAGGCAGCAGUGGGGAAUAUUGCACAAUGGGCGGAAGCCUGAGGCAGCAACGCCGGGUGCGGGAUGACGGCCUUCGGGUUGUAAACCGCUUUCGCCGGUGACGAAGCGUGAGUGACGGUAAUGGGUAAAGAAGCACCGGCUAACUACGUG